UUAGGAUGUUGCGGGGUCUGUCCCCACAUCCAUCUCAGUACAUUAGAGGCUUCAUAGACAGUCAGACAGUCAGUCAGUCAGUAGUUUUGAGUCUCUCAUCCAUGUAUAUGUAAAUAUUCUAUUUUGAGACUCGAGUUGCCCCUUUGGGCCAUAUUUUAUCAGUUAAGUUGUUUAUGUCUUUGCAUGGCAUUGAGUUAUUCUGUUG
rnacentral:lncRNA from 1 species